rnacentral:lncRNA from 1 species
AGCUAAGAAUAAAUCAUGAGAGACCUGUAAUAUUUUAUUUGUUAAAAAUGAACAGCUUCAGAUCUAAAGGUAACUUUUCCAAAAAACACCAAAAAGUACAGUGUAAAGCAUCUCCUCAUUAAAUACAAACGUUCAUUUUGUGAUGCACUGCAUCAAUGUUUUUUACACACCUUGAUGCAAAGGGAAAUUUAAGUUGCAUCUUGUUUAAUAUACCAAAGACAUUUUGUUUGAUGCACUUAAUAUCAAUAUUUGGAGGGAUUUUUAAGAUUUAAAAAGAAGGCAUUAAUAACAGCUCUGUACAAUAAUAUUUAAAAGAACAAGAAAAUGAAAACAUCUUUAUACCGUAUUUUCACAAACUGCUCUAAAGACAGCAAACUCGUGCUCAGUUGUUUUUCCUUUGUUUUAAAAUAAGUUAUCAAUAAUUCUAAACCAGUCUAAAAUGUAUUGUUCAUGAAUCAAAUCUAAGCAUUCAUACUUGCAAAAAUGUUUUGCAGUGAGUCCUUGGC